rnacentral:lncRNA from 1 species
CCUGCUCAGCUCAGACAACCUCCGCUUGCUGCCCUCCGUGCGAGCGCUUUGGGAGACACAUGCGCGUCGCCCAUGCCCCCUUCUCGCUGCCCCCCCCAUAUACACACUAUCAUCUAUACUAGCAAGCCGACAUAGGCCAGGCUGUGAAGCCAUGUCGUCUGCUUCCGGCACCGGCCAGAGCACUCCCGCCGGCUCACGCCCUGCACACCGCACAGCCUUACGCAAGUACUUGCGCGUCGGGCCCUACCCGCGUACUUGCGCUGAAAUGGAAUACAUCUACCUAGGUC